rnacentral:rRNA from 1 species
UGGGGAAUAUUGGACAAUGGGCGAAAGCCUGAUCCAGCCAUGCCGCGUGAGUGAUGAAGGCCUUAGGGUUGUAAAGCUCUUUUACCCGGGAAGAUAGUGACGGUACCGGGAGAAUAAGCCCCGGCUAACUUCGUGCCAGCAGCCGCGGUAAUACGAAGGGGGCUAGCGUUGUUCGGAUUUACUGGGCGUAAAGCGCACGUAGGCGGAUUCUUAAGUCAGGGGUGAAAUCCCGAGGCUCAACCUCGGAACUGCCUUUGAUACUGGGGAUCUUGAGUCCGGAAGAGGUGAGUGGAACUGCGAGUGUAGAGGUGAAAUUCGUAGAUAUUCGCAAGAACACCAGUGGCGAAGGCGGCUCACUGGUCCGGAACUGACGCUGAGGUGCGAAAGCGUGGGGAGCAAACA